ensembl:snRNA U6 U6 spliceosomal RNA
CAGCUACGUUUGUCAGCCCACAUAGUAAAAUUGAAAUGAUUCAGAGAAGAUUAGCAUGGCCCCUAGCAAGGAUGAUAUGCAAAUUCACACAACUUUCCAUAUUUUU